rnacentral:piRNA from 1 species
CAAUUACAUGGACUUGUCUACUA